ACUCCUACGGGAGGCAGCAGUGGGGAAUUUUGGACAAUGGGGGCAACCCUGAUCCAGCAAUGCCGCGUGAGUGAAGAAGGCCUUCGGGUUGUAAAGCUCUUUUGUCAGGGAAGAAACGGUGGUGGCGAAUAACUACUACUAAUGACGGUACCUGAAGAAUAAGCACCGGCUAACUACGUGCCAGCAGCCGCGGUAAUACGUAGGGUGCAAGCGUUAAUCGGAAUUACUGGGCGUAAAGCGUGCGCAGGCGGUUGUGUAAGUCAGAUGUGAAAUCCCCGGGCUCAACCUGGGAAUUGCAUUUGAGACUGCACGGCUAGAGUGUGUCAGAGGGGGGUAGAAUUCCACGUGUAGCAGUGAAAUGCGUAGAUAUGUGGAGGAAUACCGAUGGCGAAGGCAGCCCCCUGGGAUAACACUGACGCUCAUGCACGAAAGCGUGGGGAGCAAACAGGAUUAGAUACCCCUGUAGUCCCAUGA
rnacentral:rRNA from 1 species